rnacentral:lncRNA from 1 species
UUCCUCACCUGUAAAAUAGGAGUCAUAAUAUGCUCUCCCAUCUGUGUGGGGUUAAAUAAGAUAAUGUCAUGAGGCCCUAGCUAGCUAGGGGUCCAGCUGCUCCUUGGGCUGCCAGGUCUCUGAGGCUUCUUUAGCACAGUCAGUACUCUGUGUCUGUUGGUCCUGCUGAAGUUCAAUGACUCAACGAAUGUUCACAGACCAGGCAUAGUGGGCCAGGCACUAGGCUAGGCACCCAGAACACAGCACUGAAGGUCCAGUGUGAAACACAGAGUCCAAUUAUUCAAAAAGAAAUAGGAUAGCUAGAAUUGCCUUUAAACAAACAUGCCCAGGUAGGUAUUUAUGUUAAAACCAAAUUAAGCCAAGUGUCAUGGGAAUAUACCACAGGACAUUAAGGAAGGAAUGGUUCCUUAAUCCAAGCUUCUCCUUAUAUAUGUAAGGUAAGAAAUUAUUGUUUACUCAUUAGCAUAAGAGAAAUACCUGUUAUUUUUAUAUUAUUGUGGAAGUUCUGAAGCAUUUUUAUGCAUAAUAGGACAAGGAUCUCCUAAUCUUCAGAUCCAUUCUAGACCAGGUCUAAAGAUUUACCUGAGUAUCAUCACCCCACCACUGAAUAAUUGGGAGAAGAUACCUAACAAAUAUGCCUCCAUGUAAUGAACUGUCCAGCAGUUUGGUAUUAUCCUUGUCCUGAAUCUUUAAACUAGUUUUACCUGCACACUACAAAGAUGACAGUCAGUGAAAGCUACCUGUGUGUAUGUGUGAACAUGUGCAGCAGGGGUGGGGGACAUUCCAGCUCUGUUCUAGGCAGUGACACAACUCUCCAUUGCUCUUCUGCUGAGUUUUGUCCUGCUACCAGCCUGGUUCCUGUUCUGCCUGGCUUCAAAGCUCUUGGUAAGAUGCCCUACCUGCUCUACCUAAUAGUGACUUUCACCCACUAAAUGGAGCUUAGAAAUGAUACCCGCCAAUCAUUGCUCCAUACCCAAACCUAGGGCUCCCUCUCUGGCAGUUAGCCUGGAUGGGCUCUCCAUGGCCUCUGGAGAAGAAUGAUCAAAUAGAAGAGAAAGGUCAAUCCUUUAUGCAAAAGAAAGAUGAGUUAUGAAGUAAUUGUGAAGCCCUACAUAAGUUCCAUCAUCUCUGAUCUUCAUUCUCUAAAUCCUGUGAAUUGAAAGUCAUCUAAACUUCCUCACAACUCUGAGAGUGUGUACAAGUGUACACACACAUCACCACAGCAAAUAUGUCUGUUAUGGAAGCCAAAAAAUCUUCUCAUCUUCUCCAGUUACACCAAAUAGAUUAUUCUAUCAAGAGACACUUGACUUUGUUUAAACAAACAAACAAAAUACCUUCUUAUACUCUUAUAAAGAACCAUGUGUCUUACACUAACAGUAGAAAAUAAAUAUUUGGUUACUGAAUACUUUCUAAUAUGGGGGCAAAUGUUUACCUGCUGCUCAGUAACAUCUGAACCCUUCUUACAGCCAGUUAACUUCUGCCAAGGAUGAAAAAAAUAAAUCAGGGUGGUAGCAAAGGAUCAUUCCAUUCCAAAAAUUUCUCAAGGGAUUCCAUUCCUCUCUGACUAGCUAAAUCUAUAAAAUGUCUAUCUCUGAAGAAUACCAAAUGCUCUUAAAAAACUUUGACUAGAUGAAUAAAUGCAUGGCACAAAGAGCACCACUCCCACCUCCUCAUGCUAUAGCAGACAUUAUUCGAUCACAGAACUCUUUCUACUAUGUCUACAUUGAAAGCUGUAUGAGCCUUCAAAUGCUUCUCAAUACAGCAUCUUAGGUAAAUGUUGACAACAAAUCACACUUGGCACAGAUGACAAAAGCUAUUUGGAAUCCCUCCUUUAUGAGAUUGACUCUAUUACCUUACUGCCAUUUCAAGUAUUAAGAAUAUCAAAAUGUCAUUACUUACAUAAAAAAGGAAAGGGAUCUUGCCUGCGGGAACAUAGCUGUGAAUAUUAGUAGGAGAUGUCAACCCGGAAACUCUCCAGAACUUUCUUAGCACUGAAAUGUUUGACUUAUACUUCCCCUACCCACUCUCCUAUAAAAUAUAAAGACCACUCCUAGAUCAGAAGAGUCCUCAGGUUGAGUUCUGGCCAAAAUUGGCAGCAUCUAAGAGUCUCACAUGUCACAGGAUGGGUGUAAUUUUGAGAGCUGGUUGUGAAUGCGGAGUGAGAGAAGGAAAGAAAAUCCACACUGCUCUGGCUGGGAGAGAUGGUGUGGUGAUAAGCAGGAAGAGUGGAAAGUGGGCAGGGAAAUAACCAAGGGGCCACGAGAAUGGAGUCAAAACCACAAUGUACAGAACAACCAAGGGGCCAAGAGAAUGGAGUCAAAACCACAAUGUACAGACCAAGUAAAGCUGGGGGUUCUGCAAAAUAAGUGUGAAAAUGCUGGAUCUUUAAGCACCUUUUCAUGGAGUUUGAAUAGCUUUUGUGGCCAUUAGUAUAUUUCACCUUGGGAAUCUGUGGGUUAUACAUUCUCAGAUUCAACCAACCAUGGAUUAUGUACUGUUUACAACUAGCAAUUGGUAGAACCCACAGCUGUGGAACUUGCUUAUACUGAGUGCCCAAACAUGGGACUUAACCAUCCUUAGAUUUUGGUACCUGCAAAGUGUCCUGGAACCAGUCUCCAUGAAUACCAAGGGAUGAAUAUACCUUUUCUUUCUCUCCUUUCCAGCCCCUCCCUCCUUUCUGUACUCACCAUCCUAAGUGUCCUGCAUUUCACAUUUCUCUCUCUAUUCCCUCCUCUUUAACUUCCAUGUCUUUUUUUCUUUUCCUCUCUUUCUCCUAUUCUCCUUUGUCCAAGCUUUAGACAUCUUUGCCUACCAGACCCUAGUAGCCCUCCCAGCACGGCAGCCCUCCCAGCUGCUUUCAAACAGCACAGCACAAAGGGGAUUCUAGGGACAGAGGGCAGCUGGAGGCUCCUGGAUGUUCCAAGACAGAGGCGAGGGCAGGCCACCUGCAGGAAGGGGCUAAUGAAGUAGAUAACGAGAUGGAGAGUGUGUGCAGGUUCACAAAAAGGAUCAACGGAGUCUAGAAACAUCAUUGCAAUUAGGCUGGCAGAAAACCAACGGAGCAGAAAACAGCUUAAGGCGGGAAGAAAUGCUGGUUGGAAAGAGACAGAGAGAAAUCUGCAGCAAGUAAGCAAAGCAGCAGCGUGAAUAAGCAGUGAUGACUGGAAAAGACCUGGGGGAAUGGAUGAUAACAAGUAAGUGCACACCAAGAGGAAGAAAGAAAAACCAAAGUGACAAACUGUAGCUGUGUAACACUUAACACAAAGAAAAAGAGGUAUGCCAAUUAAAUGGCAGCACCACAUGAGAAACUCAGUAGGUAUUUCUUGGUUUGCAUUUGAUUUUUUUUAUAUUACUAUCACUUUUGAAACAUAAUUGCUGUUCUGAAAUUUUAAAAUAACCUAAAUCAAGAGGGGAACCAAAAUACAAUCAAACAUCUACUCUAUUCAGAUAAUACUGUGUAUUGACAGCACAGAACUUCUUUGCCACCCUAUUGAACCUGAAGGCCAAGCCAAUCAUGACAGGGCUCCUUAGAGAGGCAUUCUUCCUAACUAGCCAGUAUUUUAAAAAAAAAAAAUCAUAAGAGUGUCAUAUCAAAUGACUGUUCCUGAAUUGUUACCUUGAAUCAACAGAGAGUAAAUAUUGGCAUUUUCAUAUAGCAAUCUGCUAUUUGGGAUUAAUCUAGCCUUCCUGGAAGGAUGGAAAUAAAGCACAUAACAGUCAUUUACCAAUCAUAUAAUAUUAGACACCAGUAGUAAUUUGUCAUUCACUGCAGUGUUCCAGAAUUGUUAAGGGGCCAUUUCACUGCUCUCAGACAUAGAAGGUAUGAUCAUGUAGCAAAAGGGAUUCUGCAGGCUGAACAUACCGAAUCUGCACAGUGCUUUCAUAACUCCAGACUGAAAUUAAUGACCAGUGCAAACCAAAAGACUACUACACCAAAAAGGGGCUAAUAAGUCUGAAAUUUAAACGGGAUAUUCAUUUUCAUUACAGUUAUUAGUUAGAACAAAGUGAUGGUCCAAUUCACCUACACAGUGAGUUAAAUCAAUCAUAACACCAUUUUAAGUAAUAUUAUCCAUUAAUUAACUAAGCAAACAUUUUCUUAGUACCUACUUUAUGCAUUACACUGUCAGAUGCUGUAAGGCAGGUUCAGACAGAAAAGAACCUCUACCUUCAAGAGGCUUGUAAUCUAACAGGGGAAAAAGACAUUUUGCAAAACUUGUCUACAAAGUGAAAUAUGGAUAGGUAAUAUAAGAGAUAUACAAAGAGAAUGUUUCAAGACUAUAGAAGAGGUGGGUUCUAUAGUCAUUUUAUAAGUCAAGUCAGGUAAGUCUGUAUAUAAAAAAAAUCAUUUGUACAUGUGUUUGAAAAAAGAGGAGACUUUUUUGUAGGGAAAGGAUGUCCCUGUUAUAUAAAUACGUAAGAUGCCUGUAUGGAGGAUCUCUUGUCUAUCCUGAAUCAUCGAUUCCUUCUCAGCAAUCUGCAUUGUGAAGUGGACAGCAGGAACUCCACUUCUCAGUAAACUCUUUUCUGAAUGGUUCCAAGUGGAGUCAGCCAACCAGAGAGGAAGAGAGAGCAUGUGGAAGGCAAAAAUGGAGAAGCCAUCCUUUGGGAAUCAGAUGAGUGUGCUCAAAGGAGAUCUUCUUCACUGCAGUACAUUGAGAGAGGCGAUGAGAAUGGAGAGGGACAUUCAAAACAGCCUUUCUUUCUGUAUUCAAACCGUGAUGUGUCUUGGAGUUACUACACUCUUGUCACUAUACCUCUUGUCACUGAGCCCCAACCACUGGAACUGUCGUUGUCUAGAUUCUUCUUUUCCACAUGCUGUCUGUUUGCAUGUUAAAUGACUUAAAUAUUUAUAAGUAUUAUAUACUGUCACAUGUUAGAAUGUCUAUAGGACCUCCACACCACACCUCUUAUGAAAUCAUCCCAGAUGUGUUGGUGUGUGCUCUGUUUAAUUUAUCACAUGACUGCGCAUUUGUAAAAGUCAACAAAAGCAACUGUAUGCCACUAUGGGAAUUUCACAAAAUUCAUGCCUGGGGUCAAAAUAUUUCAUCACAUUUUAAUGAUUAUGACUUGUAUAGGUGUGCUGGAUGAGUUUUCUCUUCCACCUGCCUUGAUUCUUUUUAAAACAAACUUAUACAAGCAAUACAAACUAAUAGGUGAUUAUAGCAGGGUUUUGGGAUACCAGGUUAAUAAACAAAAGUCAUGUGCACAACAAGAUUGGUGGCAUCUCUGCAGUGCCAGGAUGCAGGUUCUAUCCUCGGCCUAGCACAGUGAGUUAAAGGAUCCUGUGUUGCUUAAGCUGUGGUAUAGGUCACAACUCUGGCUCAGAUCUGAUUCCUGGCUCUGGGGAACUCCAUAUGCCAUAAUAACAUGGCUAAAAAAGAAAAAAAAAUGAUUAAAAAAAGAAACUGAUUCUACAGUUUACAUGCAAAGGCAAAAGAGCCAGAAUAUCCAACACAAAAUUGAAGAAGAAAAAACUGAGAAGACUGACAUUACCAAACUUUAAGACUUACUACAAAGCUACAGUAACUAAGACAGUAGAGUAUUGGCAAAAGAACAGACAAAUAGAUCAAUAGAAAAGAAUAGAGACCCCAGAAAUAGAAUCAUAGAAAUAUAGUCAAAUGAUCUUUGACAAAAGAGAAAAGGCAACUGGAUGGAGAAAGUAAGUCUUUUCAACAAAUGGUGCUAAAACAACUAGACAUCCACAUGAAAAAGAUAGAAAAAAGAAUCCAGACAAAGACAUUAUGCUUUUCACAAAAAUUAACUCAAAAUGGAUCAUAGACCUAAAUGUAAAA